UUACGGCGCGCGGGUCGAUCUGAGAAAUACCGGCAUAACUUGAUCUGGAUAAUACCAGCGAAAGGACUUGCUUCUUAGCCACU
rnacentral:ncRNA from 19 species